GGAGGGGUGGGUGAGUGGCUGAAACCAGCAGUUUGCUAAACUGCCGUACGGGUUAUUCUGUACCACGAGUUCGAAUCUCGUCCCCUCCGCCA
rnacentral:tRNA from 1 species